rnacentral:rRNA from 1 species
GACGAACGCUGGCGGCGUGCCUAAUACAUGCAAGUAGAACGCUGAAGAGAGGAGCUUGCUCUUCUUGGAUGAGUUGCGAACGGGUGAGUAACGCGUAGGUAACCUGCCUUGUAGCGGGGGAUAACUAUUGGAAACGAUAGCUAAUACCGCAUAACAAUGGAUGACACAUGUCAUUUAUUUGAAAGGGGCAAUUGCUCCACUACAAGAUGGACCUGCGUUGUAUUAGCUAGUAGGUGAGGUAACGGCUCACCUAGGCGACGAUACAUAGCCGACCUGAGAGGGUGAUCGGCCACACUGGGACUGAGGCACGGCCCAGACUCCUACGGGAGGCAGCAGUAGGGAAUCUUCGGCAAUGGGGGCAACCCUGACCGAGCAACGCCGCGUGAGUGAAGAAGGUUUUCGGAUCGUAAAGCUCUGUUGUAAGUCAAGAACGAGUGUGAGAGUGGAAAGUUCACACUGUGACGGUAGCUUACCAGAAAGGGACGGCUAACUACGUGCCAGCAGCCGCGGUAAUACGUAGGUCCCGAGCGUUGUCCGGAUUUAUUGGGCGUAAAGCGAGCGCAGGCGGUUUGAUAAGUCUGAAGUUAAAGGCUGUGGCUCAACCAUAGUUCGCUUUGGAAACUGUCAAACUUGAGUGCAGAAGGGGAGAGUGGAAUUCCAUGUGUAGCGGUGAAAUGCGUAGAUAUAUGGAGGAACACCGGUGGCGAAAGCGGCUCUCUGGUCUGUAACUGACGCUGAGGCUCGAAAGCGUGGGGAGCGAACAGG